AACGAACGCUGGCGGCAUGCCUAACACAUGCAAGUCGAACGAGACCUUCGGGGCUAGUGGCGCACGGGUGCGUAACGCGUGGGAACCUGCCCUUAGGUUCGGAAUAACUCCCCGAAAGGGGUGCUAAUACCGGAUAAUGUCUUCGGACCAAAGAUUUAUCGCCAUUGGAUGGGCCCGCGUUGGAUUAGCUAGUUGGUAGGGUAAAAGCCUACCAAGGCGACGAUCCAUAGCUGGUCUGAGAGGAUGAUCAGCCACACUGGGACUGAGACACGGCCCAGACUCCUACGGGAGGCAGCAGUGGGGAAUAUUGGACAAUGGGCGAAAGCCUGAUCCAGCAAUGCCGCGUGAAUGAUGAAGGCCUUAGGGUUGUAAAGCUCUUUUACCCGGGAUGAUAAUGACAGUACCGGGAGAAUAAGCUCCGGCUAACUCCGUG
rnacentral:rRNA from 1 species